UUAAGCCAACUUAACUGCAUAUGUGGCAGUACAUAUGGCGUAGCUCUAAAUCAAGGAUUGAAAUGGCUUCUCUAAUACUCAAUUCCUUUCCUCAUUCAAAACCCUAAUCGCCGAAUCAGCUACUCAGAGUCAAUCGACGACAACUUUUAAUCAAUCUUCAAUACUCAAUAACAUUUCAAUCAUCAAUCAUCUGAUUUGUAGUAUUCUUUUUCAAUUAAAGCAGUUGUUGUUCCAUCAAUUGAUAAGUUCUUCGCCAAUUUGUCCUCCGAUUUUAAGAGUGUAGCAUCCAGGAAACAAUAUUCUCUCAAUUCUUAGUUUUGAUUUUUUGUCUGCGAUGUUUGUUCCACAACUUUUUCUCACUGAAUUGAUGUUUUGUUAGGAGAAAGAUUGUUGCAAAGUUUUACCUCAAUAUAUAGAAUGGUUACCAGAUCUGAAAUCAUUAGAGUUGAAGGUCUUAAUUUAUCUUCAGUCACGUUUGGCUAAAAGAAAGAUUUUGGACUUUGGCUCUGCAAAGCCUGAUUUCAGAACUGAUUUUGGCUAUUAGCAAGCGAACAGAUUUCAAUCCAGAUAGAAUUUCAUGUGACAAAUGGCGGGUGAUGGUGGCCAUCCCUUUCGGUUCCUCUUUAUUAUCCCAACAGGUUGAAAAUAUUUGCAGGUUGAAAAUGAUUAUAGUUUGCAUCCUAGACCUAGGGUUCUUAGUGAGAAAGAAUAUGAAUAUGAUCCGUUGCCUCAGGGCGAUUCCGGUGAUGACUCCUUCACCACCAUUCACCUUGAUUGAUUGGUAUAGGUGGCAAACUAGGCGAGUUGGGUGGGCUUGUGACUUUUCCCUACGAAAUUUUGUCAAGGUAAUCAUCAGGUCUUGGGGAGCUUUAACCAAGGAGAGAUAAGGAUGGGCCAUACUUUUAUGAUUAGGACAUUAUUUUUCUCUCCAAUAUUUUUAUUUGUAGCUCCUAACAAAAGUAUGGAAACCUUAACAAUUUUGUUUCUUUCUAAAACCUUUUCUUGAUUUUUUACUUUUUUGUUGAGUCUGUUGUGUCCGACUCUUUUGAGUCUUGGGAUGUUCAGGGGUUUGUGGGUUGGGCUGAUGUCUUAAUGAGGUGUGGAGAUGAGAUGGUGGUUAUGGGUAUAUAUACUAAAGGGCAUUUGGGGCUGGGGAUAUGGUAUGGAGAUAGUGAAAGGGAUGAUGACAAGGCUGCUGGAGUUAAACACGAGGUUAAUGUGAUGAAAAGAGACUUGGCAAUCUAUAAGAGUUCGCAUGAUUGUAAAUCUAUAUCCUUGAUGAACACUUAUAAAGGUAUUUAUCUGAAUACCAGUGUCAAGGCUGCUACUUUUUUGUGAAAAGUCAGCAGUGGGAGAAAGCUUUAGAGGAGGCCCAGGUUAUGGUUUAUAUGCUGAAUGAAUGGAAUUUGAUGGAUUCGAUUGUCCUUCUAUGGUUGGGGAAAGGACAAGGUAAUUUUACUUUUAAUGAAGAACAGGGGCAUUUUAGGAAUAGUAUGGUUGGUGCUAGAAUAUUAAUAAUUUGCUGGUAUGGUAUGAAGUAUGUUAGACGAAAUGAUAGUUUGUUGUGCUUUGUUAAAAAGAAUAAGGGGCAUGGUGGGAAUGUGGGAAUAAGGUUGAAAGUAUAUUGAUUGUGAGUAUAGUGCUUUUCAUGUGGCCUAGCAGAUUUACUGUAAGAGGCACUGGGUAGUUUGCAUAUUGAAGAAGUAUUUGGCUAUAAACAGGCAGAAUUCCAUGAUGUACUGGAGUAAGAAUAGGGUUGACUUUCUAGGUGAAUAGGAAGUAAGAGAUGUCUCUUUGAGCAGGAUUUGAGUUCGAGAGCUAAUGAUUAAAAAUUGGGAAAGCUAUAUUCAAAAAUGGGUUUAUGAGCUGGUUAUAAAAAGGUGUACAUUUAAAUCGUUUAUAAACUGGAAAGUUUGGAGCAGGAUGUCGAUUAAUGAGUACAAAAAUAAAGGGAAUUAUAUCAAAGUGUUAGUGAUGUAUGCUGAAUUAUAUUGAUCUAGGAUAGUUGCGACUAUAAUUUUUGGACCAUGGCUGAUUAAUAAUCGAAUCUUUAGAGUUUGGGGGCCGGGUGUAGUGUUUGUAGUUUCGGGAAUUCAUAGAUUGGAUGCUGGGUAUUUCAUACAGGAGAUUUGGCGGUCAUUGGUCUGAGAAUAAUGAGGAUGAUGGGCUUGUGAUAAAUGUUCAGGAUGGCAACAAUAAAGAUAGACCCAUUAAAGGCAUGCCAGGUUCAACCUGAUAAAAUUCCUGAUGAUCCUCAAGCUAUCAAGAGAUACAUCGAAAUAAUCCUUGCUAUGUGAAUAUGAAUACUUUUAGAGGAACAUAUGUUAUUGUACUUGUGUGUAGAUUAUCUUUUUCUUUUUUAUCACUUUCUAUUGUUUUCAUGUUGCUUUAGCGGCAUGUAAAAAUUAAUCCGCUAAUAGUGUUUCUUCCAAUGGAUACGUUUUCACAUAA